UGAGGAAUCUUCCACAAUGGACGAAAGUCUGAUGGAGCGACACCGCGUGAAGGAUGACGGCCUAACGGUUGUAAACUUCUUUUCUGGAGGAGCAAAAUGAGAGUACUUCAGGAAUAAGGGACGGCUAAUCACGUGCCAGCAGCCGCGGUAAUACGUGAGUCCCAAGCGUUACUCGGAAUUACUGGGUGUAAAGGGUUCGUAGGCGGGGACAUAAGUCAGGUAUGAAAGACCGGAGCUCAACUUCGUGUUUGUGCUUGAAACUAUGUUUCUAGAAUUAGGGAGAGGUAAGCGGAAUUCUCAGUGUAGGGGUGCAAUCCGUAGAUACUGAGAGGAACACCAAAAGCGAAGGCAGCUUACUGGAACUAUAUUGACGCUGAGGGACGAAAGCGUGGGGAGCGAAAG
rnacentral:rRNA from 1 species